UUGGUCAUUUAGAGGAAGUAAAAGUCGUAACAAGGUCUCCGUUGGUGAACCAGCGGAGGGAUCAUUACCGAGUUUACAACUCCCAAACCCCUGUGAACAUACCACUUGUUGCCUCGGCGGAUCAGCCCGCUCCCGGUAAAACGGGACGGCCCGCCAGAGGACCCCUAAACUCUGUUUCUAUAUGUAACUUCUGAGUAAAACCACAAAUAAAUCAAAACUUUCAACAACGGAUCUCUUGGUUCUGGCAUCGAUGAAGAACGCAGCAAAAUGCGAUAAGUAAUGUGAAUUGCAGAAUUCAGUGAAUCAUCGAAUCUUUGAACGCACAUUGCGCCCGCCAGUAUUCUGGCGGGCAUGCCUGUUCGAGCGUCAUUUCAACCCUCAAGCACAGCUUGGUGUUGGGACUCGCGUUAAUUCGCGUUCCUCAAAUUGAUUGGCGGUCACGUCGAGCUUCCAUAGCGUAGUAGUAAAACCCUCGUUACUGGUAAUCGUCGCGGCCACGCCGUUAAACCCCAACUUCUGAAUGUUGACCUCGGAUCAGGUAGGAAUACCCGCUGAACUUAAGCAUAUCAAUAAGCGGAGGA
rnacentral:rRNA from 1 species